UACGUAGGCAGCAAGCGUUGUUCGGAAUUACUGGGCGUAAAGAGUGUGUAGGCGGUGCUCUAAGUUCGGUGUGAAAUCUCCCGGCUUAACUGGGAGGGUGCGCCGGAAACUGGAGUGCUUGAGCGCGGGAGAGGGAAAGCGGAAGUUCCUGGUGUAGCGGUGAAAUGCGUAGAUAUCAGGAGGAACACCUGUGGUGUAGACGGCUUUCUGGACCGUAGCUGACGCUGAGACACGAAAGCGUGGGUAGCAAACAGG
rnacentral:rRNA from 1 species